rnacentral:tRNA from 2 species
AGUUAAUUAGCUUAAGAAAGCAUAUGUUUUGAAAACAUAAAAUUAGAAGUUCAAUUCUUCUAUUAACUU